CAAUAGCGUAUAUUAAAGUUGUUGCGGUUAAAAAGCUCGUAGUUGGAUUUCUGCCGAGGACGACCGGUCCGCCCUCUGGGUGUGUAUCUGGUUUGGCCUGGGCAUCUUCUUGGAGAACGUAGCUGCACUUGACUGUGUGGUGCGGUGUCCAGGACUUUUACUUUGAGGAAAUUAGAGUGUUUCAAGCAGGCACACGCCUUGAAUACAUUAGCAUGGAAUAAUAAGAUAGGACCUCGGUUCUAUUUUGUUGGUUUCUAGAGCUGAGGUAAUGAUUAAUAGGGAUAGUUGGGGGUAUUCGUAUUCUAUUGCUAGAGGUGAAAUUCUUAAAUUUAUGGAAGACGAACUACUGCGAAAGCAUUUACCAAGGAUGUUUUCAUUAA
rnacentral:rRNA from 1 species